rnacentral:lncRNA from 1 species
UGAUUUUGUGAAAAACACAUAGUAACUGGACAUUAGAGUAGGAGAAAAGACAGCUACAGUUGUGGAUAUGAAGGUGCUUUGUGAACAGUGAAGCCCUAUACACCCACAGGAUAUUUUGAGGUGGAACCAGGAGAGCUAAAGGAUCCAUAGGUGCUGAACAGUCACCCUUUUUUUUUUUGCUGGUGGUGGUUGGAGAUUGGGCAGAGGAGGCAUCAUCUCAUCUAGUGAAUUCAGUCUCAGCUGGUUUUAAAGCCACUCCCGAGAAGUAUGGCUUUCCACAGAAUCGGCCUUGACUACCCUGGGUUUCGGGAUGAAAACUUUUGUGAAAGUAUCACAGAAGCAGCUUUGCUUUGUGGUGUGGGGGCCCAGAAGAAAGUUCACUUCAUUCAGGAAGCCUUCCUUGAAUACUUUAUCUGCUAAGAACCAUCUAUCCACCCAGCACCCAGAAGGAAGCUCCCCCGCUGCCAUCCCAAGCUCCUAGGGCAGAGAAGCUGAGACACAUGGGUGCCAGAAGCACCCACCCUCCCCGUGGAAAUGAGAAGACACAUAAACAAGCCUCAAAAACAGAUCACCUACAGCAAGCCCAAAGGGAAACGAGAUGGAACAAUCUGAUACUCAACCACCUGGACUCUCUCAACUGCC